CCUACGGGAGGCAGCAGUGGGGAAUAUUGCACAAUGGGCGAAAGCCUGAUGCAGCAACGCCGCGUGAAGGAAGACGGUUUUCGGAUUGUAAACUUCUAUCAGUAGGGAAGAAAGAAAUGACGGUACCUAAAUAAGCAGCCCCGGCUAACUACGUGACAGCAGCCGCGGUAAUACGUAGGGGGCAAGCGUUAUCCGGAAUUACUGGGUGUAAAGGGAGAGUAGGCGGCAAGGUAAGCGAUAUGUGAAAGCCUUAAGCUUAACUUAAGGACUGCAUAACGAACUAGCUAGCUAGAGUACAGGAGAGGAAAGCGGAAUUCCUAGUGUAGCGGUGAAAUGCGUAGAUAUUAGGAAGAACACCAGUGGCGAAGGCGGCUUUCUGGACGGAAACUGACGCUGAGGCUCGAAAGCGUGGGGAGCGAACAGGAUUAGAUACCCGAGUAGUC
rnacentral:rRNA from 1 species